GUGGAGAGUAAGUAAAAGUGUCACGUGACCAGCCUGAACCAGGGUCUUCGCCGCAGCCCAGCGUAGGUAGAAGACCCUGGCUUGCGAGGUUGUAGCAAUAGCUGUAAAUUUUUUGGGGUCAUGCUAAUAAAGCUCAUUUAAAGUAAAGUAAAUUAUAGUCAUUAGAUGAGUACAAAAUAUAGUAUAAGUCAUUGGUAAAGACAAUUAAAAUUUGAAAAACGUAAUCUAUGGCCUGACAUGAUUUAUUCCAAAAUGGCUGGCAUUACAUUGAAAUAGUUGCUUCUUUUUUUCUUAUUUCUUAGCUGUUGUUCUUCUGUCAGAUUAAAUGAAUAGGUGGUACUCCUUCCAAAACCUGGAGAGAAAAAGCAGACAGUAUUGUUGAGUGGCAUGAGCAGAAAAUCACAUCGCGUGAAAUUAAAUAGUUUUUUCAUCAUGCUGAAAAGUAAAAAAAUAAAUACAAUAAAAUUGCAUAGUUUUGUUCCAUUGCUG